GAAAAAGUCAUUACUCACUCAACAGUUUCUGCAGUUUUCCAAUCUCUUAAAGUGGUUUUCCUGUGUCCUGAUGGAUAAAUAUAUAAAGAAAGAGAUGACCGGGACCGGAUUGAAAAGAAACGACAUGAAGUAUUCAACCGAAUAAUAAAAUUGAACAAGACGCUUAAGAAAAGCAACUUGACCCUUCACACUCCCCUCUCUUCGGAAGUAGAAAACUGCUGCUCCCUGUCUGCCUUGCGCUGCUUCAGAAAGGAGCUGGAUAAACUCUCCCAUGAACUCUCCCAUAAACCCUCCCAUAAACAGAAUCUGAUGGUACUGCUAAGAAACCUAGGAGAUCCAGACACGGAGAAUGGUGUAAACUUCUGCAGUACAGAGGAGAUUAAGGUAACUAUCAAUUUCCAAAACGUAGACCUUUAGUUUUGUGUUGUAACAAACAAAUCAAGUUUGGCAUGAAUCUAAAUGUCUGUUUUCUUGUAUUCCUCCAGGACACGGUUUGUACACCUUGUCAUUCACAUCCAAAGAAGGACGCCAAGGAAUUUGUGACACAGUUGAAAUACCUAUUUCAAAAGGUAUCUACUUUGAAUUCACCUCACAGACUACCAAUGAACUGUAGUGUCACGUAUUUUCACAGUGCCAAUCUCAUACUAACUGAUAUCUACUAUGCUGUUCUCCUACCAGGCUAACAGCAUGUGAAUGGAAACCAGAACAAAGAGACGUCUGAAUGUGUAAAGAACACUACACUGUGAAGCCACCGGUGGCUAGAUCAUUAAGGAUUACGGCCAUCCUGCUAAAUAACUUAUUUAAUUAAUAUUUAUUCUUUUAACAUGCAAGUCUUCUCUAAGAAGGAUAGUUUUACUACCAAAUCCUCAGAGCUGCUUUUGCUUUACCAGUUCACACUGUGUAUACAGGAUGUCUUUAAUUUAUUCAUGUAAUGAGCUUAAUGUUCGUGUUCAAUAGUUUUUAUUGAGUCGAUAGAGCCUAUAGACAAAAAAUGAAUGUUGAAUCUCAGGAAAACGGUAUUUCCAACAACAUUCUGAUAAUAUUUUGUUGAUCCUGUGUUUGUAUAAAAAUCUGUCAAGAUAUGUGUUGUUGACAGUGUAUGUUCACCUGUGCUCUUCUCUGUAGCUCUAACUCUGAUGCUAUUUUCAGUAAUUUAAGUUUUAACUUAUCUAGAUUCAAAUGAAAUAAAACAGAUCAAACUACAUUUGUGUAAUUCUUGCCUGACAUGUCUGACUGGGUUGCCAUGUUGAAGACAACUGAGCAACUGUAAAGCAAUCUGUCAACCUACUAAAAAAGCAUGGUAUUAAAACAGCAAUGUGUUCCCGGAGAGCCCUUAACAGGGCUGGCAUAUAACUAAAGUAUGUCACCUAAAAACUACCAAGUCCCUACCAAGAUAUAGUAGGGGUAAGCCACAUGUACCAUGGUGUCUCUCACGGUGACAGGUGCUGGAUGCUGUGAGCAGGUGUCAGGCCUGCAGCUUGACUCUGGACUUCCCAGAGCUGGGGUUUUCUUUUUCAGAGACAACAACAAAACAAGACAAAACAGACCAAACAAUCUCUGUUUGGAGAUGCACAUCCUGCCCAAACAUUCUGCACCUCCAUCCAUCACUAAAGCACUCUGUCUCUGGUAACUCUGUCAUUAAAAUGUAGACUGUCCACCCGCGCCAAGUGAGGCCCUACGAUGUCACAACUCUUGAAUUUGAGAUUUCACAAGUUAUUGCAAGGUCAGGUUUAGUUGUUAUUUUGUGUCAGACGUGAUGGUUUUGGGUUGUAGGAAAGGUGUUGUGGGUUUGGUGGUUCAUGCAGAACAGGUGUGGUGUUUCUGUGGUCCGCUCAUAUGCUGGGUUUUCCCUGACCACAGGGGGCAGAAUUCCCAUAGUGUGAAAUGCAUGUAUUCAUGCUGAUACUGUGAAAAACAAGUGUUAUUUAAUAAAUGAUGUUGCAAAGGUGUAUUUUGACAAACUUUCUACACUCUUGAUUAUGUUAAAAUUUUUAAGAUUUUUUUUUUUACAUUUGAAGUUUUAAUACUACAUACAAAGUAAUUUCAUAGAGACAAAAUAUAUUUACAAACAAAAACAAGACACAAAGACAGUGUCAAUUCUUCACACAGGCAGGAGUGUGAAAAUAUCAACAUAAUUGUGCUCCCGAAGUUGAUAUCCUUUUGUCACCGCCGGACACAAAUGAUGAAUCAGCAACAUUUAGCCCAUUUUGGGCAUCAACCCAGAGCGGCAGUAUUUAACAUCCUGAGACUAAGAAUGGGUUGGAUGUCCGGCAUGGGAAACUGAUUUGGUGGAAACUAAUUCAAGCUUUGCAACCGGUAGAUUUCUGCCGCAAGAAAUAGAAUACAAAAAGGUCAGGACACCAGUCCGGUAAUUUCAAGCAUGUCUUCCCCUUUUCCUCUCCCGUCUCUCCCGUCUCUCCCUCAAACUGUCUCCAUUCAAAAAAAAAUAUAUAAUGUGUCCAAACUUUUGACUGGUACUGUAUAUGUAUAUAUAUAAAAUGCAUUAAAAAAAAACAAGAUAGAGUUGCAGGUCUUAUCAGGUUCACAGCUGUUGAUAAUAUCUGUCAUCCGUUUGUGGAGAAGUACGCAGUGGAACAACCUGCCUGCUGGUUCUGUUUCAUUUGAAUUCAAUGGAAACAUUGAUCAGUCUUUCCACUAGACAGCCUACUCUAGGGUUUGCAGGUACUGCCAUAACUCCAGAGGGAGCAAACCUACAAAGUCUCAGAUAAAACGUUAUGACGCAAGCAUGUAGGCCUGUGGUGCUUUUCCUUAAUGGCACACAUUAGACUGGGCAGACCGCUACCUGCUUACAGUGGUCUGUGUUUUUUUUCCUCUAUGCUUUUAACCAUCAUCCUAAAAUCAAACGUCAGUUUCUACACUUUCUCAGGCCUCUUUUCUACAUCCCUGAUUGAAAUCAAGUGGGCCUAAAGACUGAGGAUCGCAUGAAUCUUUGAAACCCUGACUAUGACUUAAAAGGUCAAAGACGCAGGUGUGGAAUCACUCAGGGAAACUCUAUAACAACACUGCUUAACAAAUUUAACUCAUACAAAUCACAAUUAACAUAUUUGAGAGAAGUAAAUAAAUAAGUUAAAGAGUUUCUCUCUGGUCUGCCCAGUAAAAGGUAUUCAAACUAAAUCAUUUUGGUUUCAAGGAAGGUAACCCCAUGUUUCAGUGGUGCAGGACUGUCUCCGAUCACUUUCUGAAUCACAGUGGCUUUUCUCUCCACAUGGCCAAUGGAGUUCUGACUUCACACUUUCCAUCUGUAGCAUUGGAGCCUGCAUAGCGCACGAGUCUCGUCUUGAUUUCUGCCUGUGCACAUUUGUUUCAUGCAGCAUGUUAUUUAACAUUACCAGAUCAUCUGAAAGUACAUAUGUAAAGUGAGUCAAACGUUUUUAUGGAUGGAUUAGAUUAUUCAUUCAGUGGUUUGAGCAUUUGGCUAUAGAUCAAGAGGUCACAGGUUCAAAUCCCCCCUUUUACUUGCUUUGGAAAAAGGUAUCUGCUAAAUGAACACAAUCAUUAUUAAUAAUAUGUCAGAAAUGAUCUGAUUAUUAAAUAAUAAUAGUAGUACAUGCUAAGAGCUCAAUGCCCUCUUCUCCUAAUCCUCUUCUCAUCCUGCCCACCCCACUUAGUCAAAUACGUCAUGACAGGAUCUGGGGACCAGUACCGCAGCAGUGACCUUCAUUAGGGAAAACUGACAUAGAGAAAGUUCCAGAGGACACGGGACAAUAGGUUCACGUGGGCGUUGUGGUCAAAAUUAUUGUGAUUCACUGAAGUACUGAAAUGACUAAGGUGAAUGAAGGUGAUUAUGUCAGGUCUUAAAAUAGCUUCAUUUUUAAAUGGCUGUACCAGAGGCAUGGAUAAAUAUGGAAGUAAAUAAAGAAUCUGAAACAAAUAUCACCUUUACCGCAUCCCCUCCAUAUUUACAAAUGAGUCCAACAUCUCUCUUUAGGACAUUCAGAGAAGUCCUUUAUCUCAGUUUUCCACCCCUCACUAAACAGGAGUACCAGUCUGGCAUGGAUUACAAUUAAAGAUUCAUAUAAAAUUCUAUUCUGUUUACUUGUGGUCAAAGACUGGCCUCCUGGCACUUUGAAACCAUGUAAAAAUCCCUUUUGACCGAUGCUAUAUAAUCCUAACUCCAUCAUUCCAUGUCUUGGGAUUAACCAAGACUUCCCUAGCAACCCAGCCAUUGACAUCCCAGAAGAAGUCAAUGUGAAGGUACUGGAAUUAUUGUAACUAUUUGAAGUAUUCCUAAUGCUGGUUAGUUGCCAUUGCCGUCCAGGCACAAACAGUAGAAUAUUAAACUAAAAACAUUUAGCAGACGCUCUUAUCCAGAGGGAUUUACGGUCCCUGUACUUACAGUAAUUAAGGGAAAACGGAAAUAGAGAAAGUUCUAGAGGACACGGGACAAUAGGUUCAUGUGGGCAUUGUGGUCAAAAUGAUGAGGUACUGAAGUACCCUACUUGCCUCUGGGAGAA